UGGUGGCCUAGUGGUUAAGGACUCAGCAUUACUGCUGUGGGUCUGGUUACUGCUGUGGCUUGGGUUUGAUAUUUGGCCUGGGAAUUUCUGUAUACCUCAGGCUCAGCUAAAAAAAAAUAGUUCUUGUUACGAAUUUUGUUGGUGUCCGAGAAGACGAUGUGUAUUUUCUCUCGUAUCCCAUCUGCAUGCUGGCAUCCACAUUAGUUCUCACCUUUCAGUUAGCUCUCUUCAGGCUUUUGAAUUACAAAUAAUUUCAUCUCCUCUCUACAAGCAGAACUUUCGUUUUGAACAAUUGCUCUGCAUGGCCCAGCCCCACCUCUGCCCCCAGCAAUGCUGAAGGAUGGCAUCUGUAAGAGGGCCUCCUCGGCGUAGUCUGACUCUCCCAGGAGUGGUUAUAACCCCGACUGUUAGACCUGAGGUUUGAGACUUGUCUCUAAUUAGUUCUCUUCUCCUCUUAGAAAAGAUGCUUUCAACUCCUCAUUUCUUACUGACAUUCAAGUAAUGUUGUAUGAUGCUUGUUGAGGGCUUACUGUGUUCCAGACACAGUCGCGUUACGCGCUGUACUUAUUUCAUUUACGUCAUUUACCAUUAUUUUUCCCCUUUUAUAGAUAAGGACACAGGCCCAGAGAGGUUAAAUGACUUUUCCCAGGAUACACAACUGCGAAGCAGUCGAGUUGGGGUAGACACCAAGGCUUCACUGACAGCAGCACUGGCGCUGGACAAUCGACCUGCCUCGGAUGGCCCUACUCAGAUAAGACCCCCACUCUCCAACCGGGCCUUCCCUGUUAGACGCCUUGUUCCAGCAGGAGCAGAAGAGACCUCAGCAGCUGGACUAGGAACCCCACAUUCCCGCGACCUCCCAGGACCAACAGCAGAGGCUGAGGAGGGGUCUCCCCUGAUGGCGUGGCCACCUGGCCAGCUGUGUGGACAGCCACGCCUGCAGUCCCAGAUGCCACCCCAGCUUGGAGCACAUCAGAGGCCUCUGAGCACCGGGCCGUCUGGUGGCCACACGCCACAAGUCAGGUAGAUCCUGCCCAGUGUAGACAGCCUCUGGUGGGCCGCAGGGGGCUUGUGACCUGAGUUGGAAGACGGAGGGCAGGUGGCCUUGGAUCGCCUCGGGGAUCUGACGGCCAGAGUUUGGUCAGGCUCUAGAGAUCUGUGCUCUAGUGGACAGGGCAAGGCCAGACGCACAACUUGGAGGCCAGGCAGCCUCUGUGUCCCCAGAGCCUCACUUGUGGGCAGGACACAGCUAAGGACUGUGCUCCCUGGUGCUGGUGUCGCUAAGACCCCGGCCCUCAGGCUCCACAUUGGGCUUCUGCUCCACCCCUUCGAAAACCCAGGUCCUGACCUCCUCUUGGCCUCUGCCAGCGAGGUCCGACCUGUCCUUUGUCCCCCCAGGGCCUCAUCCUGUCCUCUAGGCUGUGUGUGGGGGGGGGCAGCCGGCCCCCCUCUGCCCUGCGCUGUGGGGCUGCGGGGCCUGCCAUGCUCCCCUCCGCCAGGGCUGCCCCUAUCUUGGGCCACUGCUGCUUGGAUGCUCCUCUCUCCUGACUCCUGCCCCACCCUGUCUCUCAGGGCCUGAGAGUUGGGUUCUCGGCUCCCUCUCAGCUCGGUGGCCCCAGCAUCGUGACCGCUGACCUCCUGAGGAGGGAGGAAGCGGUGUCUUCACCGCAAGACAGGGCCCUCCUGAUGGCAUUGCCCCAGAGCCCUCGUGGGGACAGGGUCAGGCUCAACCCUGGGGAUCCCAGAGCCACGACUGAGGAGGGGGUGCCCAGCCUGCACCCCGACCUGGACACAGCGGCAGGAUGGCCUGUAGUGGCCAAGGGUGAGCCCCCGGGGCGGGGAAAGCCUGUGCCUCCAUUGAGGGGAUGAGGGGGGCCCUGGGACCCCAGAGCCUGGCCACAGGGGCAGACCCCAUGACCAACAGCCAGCCGUGGCCCAGCUCAGCAGCACCUCUUCUGAGAAAGCCUCUGAGGUUCCCGGUCCUGUCAGGAUGGCGAGCCUCAUCUCUCCCAGGGGCAGCUGGCGGGGUCCCUGGGGUGGCACACCCAACACGAGGGCCACAUUUAUGGCGCAGGCAGUGGGGGCUGGCCCCCUCCCCACCUGCACCACCUCGCUUGGUCCUCAGGACCCCGGGCAGAUGUGGUAGGAAAGGGGAUGCAGGACCGGGUUUGCUGAUUCCAGGUUUAGCCCCUGGGCCGUGCUGCUCAUCAUCACCUCUGCCUGCAGCCUUUCCAGCUACUUCCUGCCCCUCCUUUUGCAUCCUUGGUUCCUGGGAAGCUGGGCGCUGACCCCUCGGCCUGUUGUGGGCUGACCUUGAGCAUGUGUUUGCUUAUUUCACACCAGGAUCUGGUCUGCCCAGCAGCGCCCAGCACCCCUGGGGACAUCUUCCUGGAGUCACCUCAGCCACCCCUCCCCAGAGUGUCUCAGGCCUUAAAGUCACGCUCCUUCCUGCCAGCUGUCUCCUCUUCCUCCCCCGUCCGGAGGCACGCCUGCACGGAGACAGCCUGGCCUCAGCUUACCUCCCGGACCCCGUCGCUGCAAGGAUGCCCUGAAGGGGGCUGGGGGCAUUCCAGCCCGGGGCUUCCAGUGGUCAGAGGCAGCUGGGUGGUGCCAGGAUGUCCGGGGAGUCUCUGUGGCUGGCUGGUCAGCUGGGCCCCAUGCUGCCAGGAGCUGUCUGGGCAGGAGUGCAGCCCUGUCUGAAGGGCUGGGGAGGUGCUGGCCUGGCAGGGCAGCGGGGCCACAGCCCGCCAGCUCCUGCAGUCCCCCGAGCCCACUGGCUGUCACGCAGCUGGGGCUCCUCACCUCUUCCUGUGCCGCGCGCCACCUCAGCCCUCCUUCCUGUCUGAUUUCAAAAGCCAACAGCCUUACAGACGAAUCAAUGAGCCGCGGCUGCUCUAGCCAGCUCCCUGGCUCUGACACCGCCCCCUAAGUUAGAGGCCGGGGUGCUGCCCGGGUCUUGCUUUGAGGAUGGAGUGCCCGUGCAGGCCUGAUGCUCAGGGGAAAGGGGUCCAGCCAGGGCCCAAAGGAAAGCAGACUCACCAUCAGCACACCUGUGCAUUUUGGGGGCUGGUAGGGAAACCAGGCCUGCAGUUGGCACGUUCAGUGACUUGCCCAAGGCCACCCAGCAGGGAGCUGGCCUUGCCAGGGCUGAGACAGUGUCUUCCACGCCCAGGUCAGCCUGCUGCCAUCCAGUGUGCCCUCCUCACCCUUCCUGACCCAUUGGCUUUCCUUCUCUCCUUCACCCAGCAGGCAGCUUGGCCUCAGCAGUAACCCACAGUCUCUUCCUGCGUCACAGGCCCCCAAGGCAGGUCGGCGUCACUUGAAACAGCAGACUGUGGCGGUUCACGCAGGGCCCUGGAGGUGGACCUCAGCACACAGGCUGCACUGAAGGAACAGCCCAGAGUGGACAACAGGAAAAAAGUUACAAUAGAGGAAAAAUACAGGACCCCCUCUGGCGACAGGAAGCAGACCACUUAACGUGAGGCUGCUGAGAAAAGCGAGUGACAAGGCGGGAGCAAAGUGAUGGGGACAUCAGUUUUCCUCAGAAAGCAAGUGGGAGCCGGUGAUGGUCAUAGAGCCAUAGAGUAGCAGGUUCAGCUGCGUGCGGCCGCUUGUGUGUGACAGGAGUGCGUGCCAGGUUCUGGGGGACACAUGGUGGCCACCUCGAGAAGCCUGCUGAGGCCCCAGGAAGCAGAGUGCAGACUGGAGGCUGCUCACCAGCGGCGGUGCAGCCGAGGCAUCUGAGAGCAGGCCACCCGCAGGAUGUUGGAAACCACAGGGGCCUGGUGGCUUUUGACCAACUUUAACCACUCGCCCAACACCUCAUCACCGUUCUGGGAGUCUGGGACGCCUUCAGGGGAGCAAGGGCUCCCAGGCUUCUCUCCAGGGAGUGCACCCAAGGCUGCACCGUCUCCACCACAAGCCAGGGAAGCCAGGGCCCUGCGCAGGCUUCCCAGACUCGUCCUGUUAAAAUGCAGAUUCUGCCUCUGUGGGGGUGGGUGGCCUGGCCUGCAGGUAACACACCCAGGUAAUGCUGCUCGGCCUUGGGCCUCUCCCAGAGUGCAGAGGGGGCUCGGCGCCCAGCGAGGGCUCGUCACUGAGGCUGUGUGGGUGGACAGACGUGUGGGUGAAGGAAUGAAUGGACAUUUGUCCUCUACGAACCAGAGGAAGGAGGAGCAGCAGGACUUCUGCAGACUUGGUGUGGGGGCUGAGGGGAGCUGUGGGGGCCGAGGGGAGCUGUGGGUCCCCUCCCCGUGGCUUGUUUCCCUCGUUGUUAUUCUAGAGGGUAGCAUCUAGAAGGUUUUUAUAAAGGCUUUUGGUUUUUAUUGCACAUCAUAUAAAACGGACUGCACUGUAUUUAAAACACAACACAUUCACAAGGACGCAGAGACCCAAAAUUUCUUCCUUUCUGGCCCUUACCUGUGCUCCACAGGCACCUGCAACCCACACCAGUUAACGAAGAACAUACUUAUUUUGGGGGCUUCAGAGCCGUGCUGAGCAUUCUGUACUGUCCAGUUUGCAGACUGCUGGUGACGAUGACAGGUACCCGGGCAGAACAGCUGGGCCAGCGGAGCACCUGGGGCCUGGCAAUGCAGGGCCUAUGGACACCUGGGCUGCUGGUGGAGGCUGGGCUUGCGGCCCAAGUGCCGGGAAGAACACGGGUGGGCAGGCUGGACCAGAUGUCCGUCUCAGAACACAGACACAGGUGACUGGUGGACAGAGUUCUGAGAUGCGGGCGAAUCUGGCCCCGCCUGGCCAGCUGGCGGCCCAGCACGCUCCUGAAACACACGGGGCCCUACGGGUUAAAAGCAGACGAGCUGUGGGCACUGAUGGAGGGAGGGGCCGGGGGCCCUGAAUCCAGCGGGCAACAUGCUCCCCAGGCCACUCCGGGAAAGGAAGUUGAGAGGAAGCCCACCCACGUCCAUGCUGUCCCCCAGUGGCAGCGGGUGUGGUCCCAGGGCCCAGAGCCCCGUGGGGGCCUGGCUCACUGAGGGGGUGCAGACCCUUGCGGGCUGCUGACGGCCGGGGGAGUGGAGGGGGGCCCGGGCUGGCCGGCUCUGCGCCCCCUCUUCUUGCCCAGAGGCUGCCGUCUCUUCCUCCCAAGCUUCUCUUUGCGGGCGGCGGCCGUGGUGAAAGUGAUGCAGUGGGCGUCCAGGAAGUCCAGCAGCUUCCCCGUGGCCACGUGGAUGCCCUGCUGCUUCAGCUCGGCCUGCAGCUCCGCCAGCUCGAAGGGCUGGUACAGCAGGACCUUGCGGUAGAGGGCCGGUCUGGAGCGGAUGCAUCGCCUCACCGCCUCUUCUGUGGCCGCUGCCUGGUCGGCCGCCUGAGAAGCACUGACCCCCUCCUCGCUCUCCUCAUCUCCUGCAGACUCCAGAGCCGCCCCAGACUCACAGGAAGAACUGCAAAGAACCAGACGGAAACAUCUCGUGACCCCCUUCUCUCCAUCCCCUACCUGAGACCAGGCACCUCUGCAGGGGGGAAGGGCAUGUCUCUGUGUCCCUGUGAGCCCAGCAGCUGUGUGCCCCGCGCUCUAGCCACCAGCCUGAGCAGGACAGCGCCCUCAGCCGGAAUCUCCUGCCGAGGGCAGCAGGGCAGGCUGGCCCCAUGCAGGAGGACCUACGAAGCCACUGGCCCUGUCCUUCCAUGGGGGUACCUUUGUGAGCGGCAGGAGCUGUCACUGCUGUCCACGGAGCUGGCUGUGGAUUCCUGAGAGGCUGGGAGCUGGG